rnacentral:rRNA from 1 species
AUUGAACGCUGGCGGAAUGCUUUACACAUGCAAGUCGAACGGCAGCACGGGGGCAACCCUGGUGGCGAGUGGCGAACGGGUGAGUAAUGUAUCGGAACGUGCCCAGUCGUGGGGGAUAACGUAGUGAAAAUUACGCUAAUACCGCAUACGAUCUACGGAUGAAAGCGGGGGAUCGCAAGACCUCGCGCGAUUGGAGCGGCCGAUAUCAGAUUAGGUAGUUGGUGGGGUAAAGGCUCACCAAGCCGACGAUCUGUAGCUGGUCUGAGAGGACGACCAGCCACACUGGAACUGAGACACGGUCCAGACUCCUACGGGAGGCAGCAGUGGGGAAUUUGGACAAUGGGCGCAAGCCUGAUCCAGCCAUUCCGCGUGCAGGAUGAAGGCCCUCGGGUUGUAAACUGCUUUUGUACGGAGCGAAAAGGCUCUCUCUAAUACAGGGGGCUCAUGACGGUACCGUAAGAAUAAGCACCGGCUAACUACGUGCCAGCAGCCGC